rnacentral:rRNA from 1 species
UACGAAGGGGGCAAGCGUUGUUCGGAAUUACUGGGCGUAAAGAGCUCGUAGGUGGUUUGUCGCGUUGUUCGUGAAACUCACAGCUCAACUGUGGGCGUGCGGGCGAUACGGGCAGACUGGAGUACUGCAGGGGAGACUGGAAUUCCUGGUGUAGCGGUGGAAUGCGCAGAUAUCAGGAGGAACACCGGUGGCGAAGGCGGGUCUCUGGGCAGUAACUGACGCUGAGGAGCGAAAGCGUGGGGAGCGAACAGG